CACAAGCGGUGGAGGAUGUGGUUUAAUUCGACGCAACGCGAAGAACCUUACCAGGGCUUGACAUCCCUGACCGCGUAUGAAAGUACGUUUCACCCUCGGGUGACAAGGAGACAGGUGGUGCAUGGUUGUCGUCAGCUCGUGUCGUGAGAUGUUGGGUUAAGUCCCGCAACGAGCGCAACCCUCGACCUUAGUUGCCAGCAUUCAGUUGGGCACUCUAAGGUGACUGCCGGCUAAAAGUCGGAGGAAGGUGGGGAUGACGUCAAAUCAUCAUGCCCCUUAUGACCUGGGCUACACACGUGCUACAAUGGGCGGUACAAAGGGUCGCGAACCCGCGAGGGGGAGCCAAUCCCAAAAAGCCGCUCUCAGUUCGGAUUGCAGGCUGCAACUCGCCUGCAUGAAGCCGGAAUCGCUAGUAAUCGCGGAUCAGCAUGCCGCGGUGAAUACGUUCCCGGGCCUU
rnacentral:rRNA from 1 species